rnacentral:rRNA from 1 species
AGUGAACGCUGGCGGUAGGCCUAACACAUGCAAGUCGAACGGCAGCACAGUAAGAGCUUGCUCUUACGGGUGGCGAGUGGCGGACGGGUGAGGCAUACAUCGGAAUCUACUUUUUCGUGGGGGAUAACGUAGGGAAACUUACGCUAAUACCGCAUACGACCUACGGGUGAAAGCAGGAGAUCUUCGGACCUUGCGCGAUUGAAUGAGCCGAUGUCGGAUUAGCUAGUUGGCUGGGUAAAGGCCCACCAAGGCGACGAUCCGUAGCUGGUCUGAGAGGAUGAUCAGCCACACUGGAACUGAGACACGGUCCAGACUCCUACGGGAGGCAGCAGUGGGGAAUAUUGGGCAAUGGGCGCAAGCCUGAUCCAGCCAUGCCGCGUGGGUGAAGAAGGCCUUCGGGUUGUAAAGCCCUUUUGUUGGGAAAGAAAAGCAGCAGGUUAAUACCCCGCUGUUCUGACGGUACCCAAAGAAUAAGCACCGGCUAACUUCGUG